CAGCCGCCGCGGGAAUACGUAGGUGGCAAGCGUUGUCCGGAAUUAUUGGGCGUAAAGGGCGCGCAGGCGGCUUCUUAAGUCUGUCUUAAAAGUGCGGGGCUUAACCCCGUGAUGGGAUGGAAACUGGGAAGCUCAGAGUAUCGGAGAGGAAAGCGGAAUUCCUAGUGUAGCGGUGAAAUGCGUAGAUAUUAGGAGGAACACCAGUGGCGAAAGCGGCUUUCUGGACGAAAACUGACGCUGAGGCGCGAAAGCCAGGGGAGCGAACGGGAUUAGAGACCCCGGUAGUCCCUGUCUCUUAUAC
rnacentral:rRNA from 1 species